UCUUACCUAUCCACAUGGGCCAAGGUGGGGCCCACUUGUUCCUGCGUUUGUUCCCUUCCUCAUUUCCUCAUUUUCCCCAGGAACUCUCUUCUGUAUCUCCAGCGAUUCUAAAGGGCGGUGUGGUUCUCGGCGGCAGAUCCAUGGAAAUGGAGGCAGGCGGCGGCUGAUACAUGGACAUGGAGGCAGGCGGCGGCUGAUCCAUGGCGAUGUAGGCUGGUGGCGGUGGAUCCGUGGUGAUGGAGGCCAGCAACAGCUUGGAAGAAGCGUAGCGGGCGGCGGCCGGGGCGCGAUUCAGCGGGCGGCGCAGCAGCAGCCUUCAGCGCUGCAGUCUGCGGAGACAAGGAAUGCGGCGUGGGUUGACGGAUAAGAGGGGGCACGGGGAAGCGAGCAUGGUCGACAGGGGGCGAGGAGCUCGAGCUCAUCGUCGAUUUCUUUCAGUGGCGUUGGGCACCCGACGGUGAUUUAGGGGUUCGGUUGGUCGGCGUGGUGGAGGGCAUUUGCAUGUCGCAAGGCGCGGUGCUGUGGGCUGAUUUGGGCGUGGCCGCUGCAUCGACGACGGUGGGGCGUAACGAGCUCGGCGGGCGCAACGAGCAUGGAGAUUUCACCCGAUUUCAUGGCUUUUUCAAGGGGGGGGGGCAAUUUUGUGUAUAUGCUGUGGAUAACAAGUGAACUGGCAGGAGGCAAACUACAAGGAGAUAUAAGCAUUUCCCCUACAUGAACAGGAGCUUGGCAAGCGGAUGCGACACCGGAGUGUUCUCAAGAAUCUGCUGUGUUUUUUGCUUUUCAAGUUGCUGAAUUGUGUUUGUGUUUAUCUUGGGAAAAGAACUAGGAGGGGUGCUCAAUGGGAGCAUGCAAGUAGGGGUUGCAAUGCUACAAUGCAUUGUCUAAUUUGUUGA